UAAUACCAGCUCUCCGAGUGGUAGGGACAAUUAUUGGGCUUAAAGCGUCCGUAGCCGGCCCGGCAAGUUUUCCGUUAAAUCCAACGAUUCAAUCGUUGGGCCGCGGGGGAUACUGUCCGGCUAGGGGGCGGGAGAGGCCGACGGUAUCCUCGGGGUAGGGGUGAAAUCCUAUAAUCCCGGGAGGACCACCAGUGGCGAAGGCUGUCGGCUAGAACGCGCUCGACGGUGAGGGAUGAAAGCUGGGGGAGCGAACCGGAUUAGAUACCCGGGUAGUCCCAGCUGUAAACGAUGCAGGCUAGGUGUUGGCGCGGCUACGUGCCGCUCCAGUGCCGCAGGGAAGCCGUUAAGCCUGCCGCCUGGGAAGUACGGCCGCAAGGCUG
rnacentral:rRNA from 1 species